rnacentral:rRNA from 1 species
CAAUAGCGUAUAUUAAAGUUGUUGCAGUUAAAAAGCUCGUAGUUGGAUUUGUGGCGUACGGUGUGUUCCGGGCACUUGUUGUCUGAGUAACCUGCUGUUGCCAUCCUUGGGUGGAACCUGUGUGGCAUUAGGUUGUCAUGCAGGGGAUGCCCAUCAUUUACUGUGAAAAAAUUAGAGUGUUCAAAGCAGGCUUAUGCCGUUGAAUAUAUUAGCACGGAAUAAUGAGAUAGGACUUUUUUGCUAUUUUGUUGGUUUGCGCAAAGAGGUAAUGAUUAAUAGGGACAGUUGGGGGUAUUCGUAUUCCAUUGUCAGAGGUGAAAUUCUUGGAUUUUUGGAAGACGAACUACUGCGAAAGCAUUUACCAAGGAUGUUUUCAUUAA